AUUGAACGCUGGCGGAAUGCUUUACACAUGCAAGUCGAACGGUAGAGGGGGCAACCCCUCGAGAGUGGCGAACGGGUGAGUAAUAUAUCGGAACGUGCCCAGUCGUGGGGGAUAACGUAGCGAAAGUUACGCUAAUACCGCAUACGAACUAAGGAUGAACGCGGGGGAUCGCAAGACCUCGCGCGAUUGGAGCGGCCGAUAUCAGAUUAGGUAGUUGGAGCGGUAAAGGCUCACCAAGGCCAACGAUCUGUAGCUGGUCUGAGAGGACGACCAGCCACACUGGAACUGAGACACGGUCCAGACUCCUACGGGAGGCAGCAGUGGGGAAUUUUGGACAAUGGACGCAAGUCUGAUCCAGCCAUUCCGCGUGCAGGAUGAAGGCCCUCGGGUUGUAAACUGCUUUUGUACGGAACGAAAAGGUCUCUCUUAAUACGGGGGACUCAUGACGGUACCGUAAGAAUAAGCACCGGCUAACUACGUGCCAGCAGCCGCAGUAA
rnacentral:rRNA from 1 species